UGCGAAGCAGCUAGAAAAUAACAUCAAAAGCAAUCCUAAACAAAAUGUUUGUCUAGGAUCUAUAAAGCCAGCCCCAAAUAUAUAGUUGGGUCAAGGCUGGAUUAUUAUGGUUUUGGUUUGGCUUAUAUGACAUUAAUUGUAAUAUAAACUCCAAUAAUAAUACAAAAUUUUUCCAACUUUCUAAACACAGUUAUGCAUUAUAUCCUAGUAAUCUCACUCCCCGGAACAGUUAAAUCACCCACAAUACUUCCCUCUCCUGACCUCAUAGCAGAGAGACAACAAGAUCUUUUUAAGCAAUCUUAAUCCAUUCACAUCUCUCCUAUGAUAUACAUAACUUUGCAGUAAGUCACUGCAGGCUUACUCAGAACUGAGAUUUAUCUACCCAGAUGACUUUAUUCCCCAUGCUGAAGAUGACUGUCUUGUCAUCUGUACUGUCACUCUUGUCUCAAGUUUAUAAUUGGUCUUUCUAGGAAGUUGUCUUUUGAAAAUUAUAGUCUCACAAUGAUCUCUCUAAGUAGAGAAACAAACAUGAAGCCCUGUCUUGACACUUUGAACCUCCAUUCAUAUAUUGUCUUUGGCAUAUCAUCCAUGAAAAUAGAAAUAGAAUGCCUAAAACAAGUGUUAUUGGUGAUAC
rnacentral:lncRNA from 1 species